UGCCUACGGGUGGCUGCAGUGGGGAAUAUUGCGCAAUGGGGGAAACCCUGACGCAGCGACGCCGCGUGAGCGAUGAAGGCUUUAGGGUCGUAAAGCUCUUUUGUAAGGGAAGAAUGUCGGGGGAGAUAAUACCUUUCUCGAAUGACGGUACCUUACGAAUAAGCCCCGGCUAACUACGUGCCAGCAGCCGCGGUAAGACGUAGGGGGCGAGCGUUGUCCGGAAUUACUGGGCGUAAAGAGCACGUAGGCGGAUAUUUAAGUCAGGUGUGAAAGACCGCAGCUCAACUGCGGGUUGGCACUUGAAACUGGGUAUCUUGAGGGCAGGAGAGGACAGUGGAAUUCCAGGUGUAGCGGUGAAAUGCGUAGAAAUCUGGAGGAACACCAGUGGCGAAGGCGACUGUCUGGACUGACCCUGACGCUGAGGUGCGAAAGCGUGGGUAGCAAACAGGAUUAGAUACCCUAGUAGUC
rnacentral:rRNA from 1 species